rnacentral:rRNA from 1 species
UACGUAGGGGGCAAGCGUUGUCCGGAGUUACUGGGCGUAAAGCGCACGCAGGCGGUCGAUGAAGUUUGGAGUGACAGUUGGUGGCUUAACCACCAAAGUGCUUUGAAAACUGAUCGACUUGAGGGCUUCAGAGGGACACGGAAUUCCGGGUGGAGUGGUGAAAUGCGUAGAGAUCCGGAGGAACACCAAAGGCGAAGGCAGUGUCCUGGGGAGUACCUGACGCUCAGGUGCGAGAGCCAGGGGAGCGAACGGG